rnacentral:misc_RNA from 1 species
GAGCAGGUCUGUCCGAGCGUCUGCCAACACAAUCCAUUGUCACUGCCAUGUGACGAGAUUGAGGGGCUGUGACACUGUAGUGCCACUCACCCCUUGAAGGUGUGCAGUCGACGUUGGGCCGUGGCAGGGUGAGACCGUCGUCACUGUAACGUGUUGUUUCGUCUCGUCGAAUUUACUGUCACCGCGGAUGACCACCUGGACCUCGGAUCAGG